rnacentral:lncRNA from 1 species
AACAAGGAGAAAAUUCUGCGCUAGUCAAAUGUUGACAUGGUUUGAUAUUUAUAAGAGAGCAAGAACCCAGUAAUUUUGAUUUGACGAAUGCUUUAUACUGUGAAUUUGUAUUUUGCGCAGGUGCUGUCGGAUCAUGUUAUUUAAGUAGGUUGCUUGCCCGUAGUGAAUUCUCUAACGAAGUGAAGAAAACAUGUGUUUCUCAUUCACCCGGGAAAGGCGAAAGCUGUGAUUUAUUGUCCUAUUUAUGACUUUGUAUCUGUAGUGUAUUUUGUUUAAGUGAAACCCUUAAGCCGCAGUUCGCAAUUUGCGUUGUAACUAAUGAUAAUUUAUUCAACUGUUAUCAUGCUGUGUGGAUGUGAUAACGCAACCCAUCUCUCUCAAUCUAAACAACCCCUGCACGCAUUCUCAGUGAGAUGUUGAACUUGAGAGUUGAGACGGAAUUUAAAUGGUCCUUCCUGAAUAUCAUCAUCACUACCUUGAGUCCUUAUUAAAUUUUAAUUUCUCACAACAGUAGUAUAUUUAUUCUUUUAAUAUUCA